CAAGUCGAACGAUUAAGACUUCCUUCGGGAAGUGCAUAAAGUGGCGCACGGGUGAGUAACACGUAAGUAAUCUACCUUCGAGUGGGGAAUAACAGUCGGAAACGACUGCUAAUACCGCAUAAUGCAGCGGCAUCGUAAGAUGACAGUUGUUAAAGGAGCAAUUCGCUUGAAGAGGAGCUUGCGGCAGAUUAGCUAGUUGGUAAGGUAAUGGCUUACCAAGGCAACGAUCUGUAACCGGUCUAAGAGGACGGUCGGUCACACUGACACUGAAUAACGGGUCAGACUCCUACGGGAGGCAGCAGUCGGGAAUUUUGGGCAAUGGGGGAAACCCUGACCCAGCAACGCCGCGUGAAGGAUGAAGUAUUUCGGUAUGUAAACUUCGAAAGAAUAGGAAGAAUUAAUGACGGUACUAUUUAUAAGGUCCGGCUAACUACGUGCCAGCAGCCGCGGUAAUACGUAGGGACCAAGCGUUGUUCGGAUUUACUGGGCGUAAAGGGCGCGUAGGCGGCAUGACAAGUCACUUGUGAAAUCUCCGGGCUUAACUCGGAACGGCCAAGUGAUACUGUCGCGCUAGAGUGCGGAAGGGGCAAUCAGAAUUCUUGGUGUAGCGGUGAAAUGCGUAGAUAUCAAGAGGAAUACCUGAGGUGAAGACGGGUUGCUAGGCCGACACUGACGCUGAGUGCGCGAAAGCCAGGGGAGCAAACGGGAUUAGAUACCCCGGUAGUCCUGGCCCUAAACGAUGAAUACUUGGUGUCUGGAGUUUUUAGUGCUCCGGGUGCCGUCGCUAACGUUUUAAGUAU
rnacentral:rRNA from 1 species